GUGCCAGCAGCCGCGGUAAUACAGAGGUCUCAAGCGUUGUUCGGAUUCAUUGGGCGUAAAGGGUGCGUAGGUGGCGUGGUAAGUCUGGUGUGAAAUCCCGGGGCUCAACCCCGGAACUGCACUGGAUACUGCCAUGCUUGAGUACUGGAGAGGAGAUUGGAAUUUACGGUGUAGCAGUGAAAUGCGUAGAUAUCGUAAGGAAGACCAGUGGCGAAGGCGAAUCUCUGGACAGUUACUGACACUGAGGCACGAAGGCCAGGGGAGCAAACGGGAUUAGAUACCCCUGUAGUCC
rnacentral:rRNA from 1 species